rnacentral:lncRNA from 1 species
GAAAGAUCUCUCUCUCUCCCUCUCCCCUUCAUGAAAAAGAGAGAAAGCAUUUAACCCUCGAGUGUUCAGUUAGUUUCCUCAGCAACACUGGUCAAGAGUGGUCGCAGCUCCACCCACAUCUGGGCACCCAGGAGGGGCAGGAGCCGCUCUUGGCAGGAAGGCCGCCUGCUGGGCCAGGUCAGGGAUGGCACCUGGACCUGUCACCACACGGCUUCUGUAGAUGCUGGAGGAGCAGCAUGUGGAGCCGGAGCGCCACAGGAGCCUUACGGGACUGCUGGUCACUCCUGCUUCCUGGCCCACUGAUCUCUGUCCAGAGGAAGUCCUGGCUUCAGGGAGCUGAAGCUCAGCCUCAGGCGGAGCACGUCUGCCUGCCCGAACUUCACUGCCGGCUCCCUCCUUCUUGGAGCCCUCUUCAAGUUAUUUAGAUAAUCACAGGCUCUCCUCUAUUUUGAUAGCAUCAGCUGUUAGAUAACCACAGAGUCUCCUCCAUUUUGAUGGUAUCAUCAGCCGUAAUCUUGUCAUGAUAAACCAAUUGUGCUGAAUCUUUUUUAGUCUAUCUGUUUGAGGUUUCCAGAGAAUUUUUCUAGUGCUUAUCUGAUUAACUGGGGCCAAUUCACUAAGCUCCCAAGUAAUGGAAUCUGCUUUGAGUUCCAAGACAUUGAAACAAAGACGCUAAGACAAAGAUGGCUGAACUAAAAAUUCGUAGUACAACAAAGACUAUGUCGUGGAGACAAAGAGAAAGACCACAGGACAGAAUUUAUAUAGCUACAGAGAUGGGGGAGUGGCAGCUACCUCAAUCCUAAAUGGCAAAUGUGUCACAGAGUCAAAGCGGCCUCCUUUUCUGUUUGGCCAGCACGGCAUUGUCUUUGAAGCAGUGGACUAAUUUUGAAUCUGCUACAAGGCUAUCAAGAUCCUUCGGGAACAAAGGAAGAUCUACGAGAAACUAAGCACAGCGUCUACCCACACAGGAUGGAAUCUGGACAGAAGGAGGGUGAGGUUGAGAGACAGAAUUUUUGCAGUGUAAGGGUUUACAGGCAUGCGCUGCAUAGGGAUGUGCACUCUAUGAUGUUCGCACAGUGACGGAGUCGCCUAACGACACAUUUCUCAGAAUGCAUUCCCGUCAUUAAGUGACUCAUGCCUGUACACUUUUUGGGUUUUGAACCAUGUGAAUGUAUUACUCCUUUAAAAAAA